rnacentral:rRNA from 1 species
UACGUAGGUGGCGAGCGUUACUCGGAAUUACUAGGCGUAAAGCGUGUGUAGGCGGGGGCUUAAGUCCUUCGUUAAAUCUCACGGCUCAACCGUGAAAUGUCGAAGGAUACUGGGCUUCUUGAGUGUGGUAGGGGAAACUGGAAUUCCCGGUGUAGCGGUGAAAUGCGUAGAGAUCGGGAAGAACGCCAAAGGCGGAGGCAGGUUUCUGGGCCGUUACUGACGCUGAGACACGAAAGCUAGGGGAG